CAUUAAAGAGUUCUAUAACUCCCAAACCCAUGUGAACAUACCUAACGUUGCCUCGGCAGGUCGCACCUACCUUGUAGCACCCUACCCUGUAGGGCCUACCCGGGAGGUGCGGGUAAGCCUGCCGGCGGCCCACCAAACUCUGUUUGAUAUUGAAUUCUGAACCUAUAACUAAAUAAGUUAAAACUUUCAACAACGGAUCUCUUGGUUCUGGCAUCGAUGAAGAACGCAGCGAAAUGCGAUAAGUAAUGUGAAUUGCAGAAUUCAGUGAAUCAUCGAAUCUUUGAACGCAUAUUGCGCCCAUUAGUAUUCUAGUGGGCAGGACCGUUCGAGCGUCAUUUCAACCCUUAAGCCUUCGUUGCUUAGUGUUGGGAGCCUACGGCAACGUAGCUCCUCAAAGUUAGUGGCGGAGUUGGUUCACACUCUAGACGUAGUAAUUUUUUAUCUCGCCUAUUAGUUGGACUAAUCCCCUGCCGUAAAACCCCUAAUUUAUCAAGGUUGACCUCGAAUCGGUUCAGACAAACUCGCUAAAUUGAAGCAUCUUAGUCAGCGAAGGAAAAGAAACCAACAGGGAUUGCCCUAGUAACGGCGAGUGAAGCGGCAACAGCUCAAAUUUGAAAUCU
rnacentral:rRNA from 1 species